CAGGUGUGCAUACUCUGCAAUAAUAACAGAAGCACUGAACAUUGUGUACACUGCUGAAAAUACACCUGUGGCAAAUGUAGGAAAGACACACCUUGGGAAUGUGGAAACUGCAAGUUAUGACAACUGUAUGGUACAUUUGUGUGCUUUAUAUUUUAUGCUUUUCCAUAUUUAGAGCUUUU